AUUGAUUCACGUGUUUUAACUAUUUAAAUUGAAUGCCAAAGGAUGAGCCAACCCCAUUUGAUAUAAAAAAGGACCCUAAAAGCAUGUGAGAUGAUGAAUAUGGUAUAAAAGAUUCAUGGGAAGAUGAAGAUGAACCCUCUCCGCCACAAGUGGUAGCACCUCCUGUUGUGAAGGCCACAAAGAAGUCAACAGUCAAACCUGCUCCAAGAAAAAGGGACAGCUGUUGUUGAAGUAGCAAAAGAGGUGCAUUAAAUCCUUUACUAGAAAAGCUCUAACAAUGAAGGUAUGCACCAUUAAUGGUAUAACCAUUUAUUCAUCUGAAAAUAUACAGUGUAAUCGUAUAAAUUUUGUUACUAUUGUGCAUGGCAUCUUGUGGAGUUGCCUUUUUAUAGCUUUUCCUUCAUUUGUAUGAUGAAUAUAGCAAUUUCAAUUUGGAUCUGUUGGCUUCUUUUCACCUAUGAACCAUUUUCAUGUUC